UAACGAAAGAGUACAUUUCAAUUCUACCUCAUUUUUAACUGUAAAUUGCUAACUUCAGACAAUGGCAUUUAAAACGUUCGUUUUGUAGAGUGCUGCUUACUCUCCCCAUAUACAACCGUUCUCAGAGCCAGCCAAAAAUCUGACUAGAAAAUACUGGCGGAAGGUGAAGAGCAAAAACAUGAUUCCUGGAGCUGGGGCUGUAAGAAAAACACUAUAGGCCAUGAGACUCACAAUCAAAUCACAAGAGUUGGCAAGACUACAACUUCCUCCUGCUCCAUGCUGCCUGGGCCCAGCAGAGGGUGCAUUAAGAACAGUGGGGCACAGGCUCCCUGCUCUGAGUUCCAGUGCCCGACACUACAGCAGCACAGAGGAGCAAUUGCAGGGAAAGUCCUGCUGAGCCCCUAGAAUCCUGGUCUGAACCCCUUGCCCAAUAAAGAUGGAAUCUUCAGGGAAUUUAGCUGUGAGUGCCAACAGGCCUUACUGAGCAUGUGCAAACAGAGUUCUUUCAGAGACAAAUUUGGGAAGAUUUUCAGAGGGACAGCAAAAGGCACAUCCCCAUCACCAGAUUUCCUUGCCAAAUUUUAGGGCCCUGCUCCAACAAAGUAUCUGUGGCAUGGUGUUUUUUUUUGUUUGUUUUUUUGUUUUUAAACAUGGGUAAAACAGCAUAUUUUCCUAACUCUUGUUCUCAGAAAUGUAUGAAUCAUUUUUACUGAAACUUUAAAAUAAAAAUUCAGCCUGAGACAGAUAUGCAGCAUGGAAAAUUUCAUCCCAAAAGGCUAAAGCAUGGCGAAGUUAUGAGCAACUGAAAACAGGGCCAUAUUAUGGGAAGAAUCUGGCAACCUUAACUAUUGGCAGUGCUACCAGCAUUGCAUACAAUAUAUGCCAGGCUCCCUUAAAAAUAUGAAAGGCCUAAAGUUAGAGGCAUUACCAAAAAUAGGAUUUUUUUUUUUUAAAUAUCCACAUAGUGAACCCUCAACAGUAGGCAUGGAACAUGUUUCUACAGUUUAAAAAUAUUCAGCUAUUUUCAAUAUUUCUAUAUUUCACAUGUUAGAGACACAGAUAUGUAGAAAAUCCAUGUUCAGCAGGGACAAAAAAAAAUAAUAAUCAAGAAAAGCCUGAGAAAAUAUACAAAUUGUACUGGAUUUUAUUAAAGGUAGUCCAAUGUGGUAAAAAUCAUUUAAAUUCUAUGUUUAGCAGCUGCACUGGAUCCUGCAUUUUUACACAAUGGCAAUAAAAUAAUAAUGGUAGUAAUAUAAUACUAAUAAUAAUUAAGUCAAUAAACUCCUAGAGAUAUAAUAUCUUUUUGCUAAAGCAUAUUUUCUUAAGAGGCCUGGAUGUUUAUAAUUUUGUAACUAUAUCACAUUGAGGAACAAUAGAUUAAUAAUGAGCAAUAUAUGUACAAGCUAACACAAGAUAGGGAAAAAAUAAGAGGCACAAUAACUAUUUAAACAUGUUUUACUAUUAUUGUGUCUUUUAUGGUUUAUGUUCCUGGUUUGAUAAAAGAAUUAAUUUUGAGUGAUAAGGACACCGUUAAUGAAUGAUAGUACGAACAACUGCUUAAUAUCCUAAAAAGAAAAUUGCUUUCAGAGUUUUUGUGGAUUUCAACAGAUUUUUGGCAAUUUUUUUUCAUGUGAUUACAAACUCCUGGGAAGGACUGUGCUUCCUAUGUGUUUGUGGAGCACCUAGCACAAGGGAGAUCUGAUCCUGACUGGAGUCCUUGGGUAAUACCACAAUAUAAACAUGCAGACAGGGAGUAUGACACAUCUUGGUUCUUCCUCUGCAUUUAUAUCAACAUGGUGACAUCAUCAUAUUCUUGCAGGGCUCUACAAGCUAUGUUUGCUCUCCUCCAUUCCCCGUAUAAGAAAAGGAAUUGUAUAGGGAUGAAGAUCAUGAAUACUGAGAUAAAUAAGUGAAGAUCUGGUGAAAUCAAUAUAUUAAAACUGUGAAUCUGAAUAAAGGUGUUAGGGUGUCA